rnacentral:rRNA from 1 species
GACAGAGGUGGCAAGCGUUGUUCGGAUUCAUUGGGUGUAAAGGGCAGGUAGGCUGUUUUGCAAGUCUGACGUGAAAUCCCAGGGCUCAACCCUGGAACUGCGUUGGAAACUGCAUGACUUGAGUAUCGGAGAGGUUAGGGGGAAUUCUCGGUGUAAGGGUGAAAUCUGUAGAUAUCGAGAGGAACACCAGUGGCGAAGGCGCCUAACUGGCCGAUACUGACGCUGAGCUGCGAAAGCAAGGGGAGCAAACAGG